AAGAAAUAAUCUCCCUCCCUAGUCUCACUCUCUCGGCCGCCCCUCUCUCUCCAACUUCUUGGAGUUCUUUUCUCUUGCUUUCUUCUAGUAAAGGAAGCAUUAGAAUUUUAGUACCAGAGUGGUAUGGACGAAUUAAACGGUUCCUGAGUUGGAGCCUCGCGUGAAUGUUUAAAGUAGGUGGAUUCCGGCAAAGCUUUCGCUUGCGUGUUCACAUGCCGUACCACAUAAUCCUUAAAAAAUGAGAGAAAUGAGAGUGUGAGAUUGAGGGUUGAUGUCAUCAAAUGACUGUACAAGCCCUCUAUUUAUAGGCGUGCACAGAGCAGGAUACGGGGGUUGUUGUAGAGCGCUCUACGCCAUUUGAAAGACCUCUGAAUUAGCUAUUACCCAGAAAAAAAAUGUUUGUUAUUAUAAUUUGACUUAGAUAUGUUAUAUGGACUGAGUUUUGUCAUGUCUACUUGAAAAUCCAGGAAUUCAUUAGUCGUGUAUUUCCAACUCAUCUGUUAUCGAUUUACUUGAAGUCAAAGGUAGGAUAUUUUAGUAUAACGUGUCCGGAUGUGUUGGUAAGCUAUAUAACGUGUCCGUCCAACUAUACGAUGACACAUUUCUUUCCUACUGAUGGGUGAGCUAGGCUGAUCUGUUUUUGUUUAUGGGCCCAGUCCAAUAAUUAGGGUGCAUCAAAGAGCAAAUAAUAAAUGUAAAGUAUAGGUUAAAAGUUAAUUAUUUUACAUAAUUGUCCUUAGGAAUAAUAUUAUUACAAGGUUAAUUUAGAUAAGCCAAAAAUAAAGAAACUUCUACGGUCAUUUAUACUUAUAUCGAUAUAUAUAGAUAUAGAUAUAGAUAUGGAACUAUAGAUAUAGAUUAGCUUGUGUAACUUGUCUUGUAUUCAAAAGUUAUAAACUGUAACACUCAAGAUUGAGGCUUGCAUUGUGUAUUAGUAGUUGGCAUUCACACGAAUGACACCGUAGCCGUGUGAUACUAAAAUAGCUUUUGGUGAAACUGUGAACGCUAGCAAAUUAUAUGUUGUGAAUAGCAUAAAAGAACAGUUCUUAUCAAGAAACUCUAGUGACUCAUCCUGAUUUAAGAUUGAUUCGGGCGUAGAGAGGAGAGGACUACAUCUUGAAGAGAGCUGUCCCUUUGCAUGGCGGCCUUAAACUC